GUCGGAGGCCGAUCACACUAUCAAAGAAAUAACUCGGUAUAACUAGACGUUUUGUUUUGGGUAUGGCAUGUAUAGAAACUUAGCUACUUUUGGUAUAAUAUGAACAAUGAAUGAUGUGUAAAUACUUGCUAGUGAUUAGCUAAUAAAAUAGCCGAUGAUAUACAUAUUUAUUAAUAUGUAUGAUUGAUUGAUGAUUAUCACAUGAAAAUUAUGAAAAAUGUGAAAGUAACCUAAAAACAGAUUCAAGUAACAGAAAUGACGUAACUUUCAAAAAUCACUAAAAAUUGCAGAAACAUAGUUUGAAGAUG
rnacentral:lncRNA from 1 species